rnacentral:lncRNA from 1 species
CAAAAUAUUUUGGCAUAUCACAUGUACGAGACCAAUGACAUAUUCAUGUAACCACACAAUAAUAUUUAUUCUCUUUAUUUCACUCAAACCCCUCUCAAGUGCGAGUUGUGUGGUAUUCAUCCAAGCAUGCCUUGCAUGUAUUUAUUCAUUACUUUUAUCACAUAUUACCACAUUCACAUAUAGGAAUCGGUCUGCAUUUUCAAUGCUUAUCACAAGUCAUAUUUUCUUUAAGGAAUGGAUCAUAAUCAGUGGCGUGCUUUAUUAGCUUCAUACCAAUUUGAUGGUAAAUAUUGCCUUCACAUUUUGAACGACUAUUUUGAGAAUCUUUAUUAUUCUCCUUUAAAAAUCAUAGUGAUGAUUAUUAUUGUUUUGAU